UACAGAGGGCUCAAGCGUUGUUCGGAUUCAUUGGGCGUAAAGGGUGCGUAGGCGGCGUGGUAAGUCGGAUGUGAAAUCUCGGAGCUUAACUCCGAAACUGCAUUCGAUACUGCCGUGCUUGAGGACUGGAGAGGAGACUGGAAUUUACGGUGUAGCGGUGAAAUGCGUAGAUAUCGUAAGGAAGACCAGUGGCGAAGGCGACCAUCUGGACGACAACUGACGCUGAGGCGCGAAAGCGUGGGGAGCAAACAGG
rnacentral:rRNA from 1 species